GGCUUCGUUUCAUCUUGAGACAGAAAAGAAACGAGGAAAAUAUGGCGGAUCUAUACAAAUAUUAAAAUUUGAUAUGUCCAUACUUGUCUGUCGUUUAGCGGAAUGUUCGUUCGUGACGUUUAACAAAUGCGUGGAUCACAGGUAGAUUUGAUCGAUCUACUAAGCAAAUAAUCAAUGUAACCAAAGCUAUAUUUGAUGUAGACCUAAAAUUAAUAAAGUUUAUUUAUUUGUUUACGUUCACGUUGUAAAUGUUGAUUUCUCCUAGUCCUUGUAACUUGACAGAAGCAAGCUCAUGCCAGGAAGGAGAAAGAGACGAAAAAGUAGAAAACAUUCUUUAGUUUUUACUGAAAGUCCUGUUAAUAAUCAACGACAUAUUCCUACACCAGUGUUAUGUGUUGAUAACCCAAUAACUGCUAAAAAAGUUCCUGUUGAUGGUGAUCAAACAUGGGUAUCACCCCAAUUCCGAGAUCUGCAAAGAAGCAUAAGAGGAAGCAGACAUGUGAGAAAAUACCACAGUACCAUCCUCACUCGCUCACGUCAUCACUCAAACAAAGAGAAUACCUCAGCAAUAAAUCCUAACUACAGAAACAAAUAUAACUGUUUGAAAUUUAUUGGGGAUAGAAGCGUCGACAGUGUAGAUGACAUAUCGUUUAACUCGCCAAGUCCUGUUAAGGUAAAGCGAAAAUCCACUGCUGUGCCUAAUUUCAGUCUUGAUACACCAACAAAGCAACCAAAUUCAUGGAGUUUAAAACAUUUAAAGAAAUCACGAAAAAGUUUUAAUAUUAGUUUCAAUGAAUCUUUAACUCAAAAUGUGCAAAGUUUAAAUCAACGACCUUUGAACCAUACAUUAAAUGUUUCACCUUUAACCUGUGUGCGGACUUGCAAUACAAAAGAAGGGGAACAAUGUGACAACACAUGCACUCCUACGACUCGGAGAUCAGCGAGACUUCAAGAUAAAUAUCUACAAACUUUUCAGAUAUUUAAAACUCCUCCAAAUAGAAAAGAUGGUGUGAGUAAAAUUCUAGCUUACGAUACACCAGAAUGUGAAUAUAAUCUUUCUGUGAGGGAAAGACAAUUGCGAAAGAAAAAUAAGUUAUGAUGUUUGAUCCGUGUUUGUUAUUGUCAUCGUAUGCAGGAGAGACAAGCUGUAUUUUUUAUCUUCAUGCUAUAAAGAAAAGACACUUCUCAAUGCUUGAGCGUUUAAAUUGAUUUCCUGGUUCAGAGACAUACCACACUUAUACUUGUUUAGGUUAAUGUCCAUGGAUUGUUCAGUUAGUCCGAUUGAAGAACACUAUUACAAAAUUCAAACUUGCAUAACGGUUUAAUGUGUUGUUAUUGCACACUUUAAAAACUUCAAAAUCCUAUUGGGAGGGGGGGGGGGUAUAUAUUUGUUGCCUGUCAACCACAUGUUUUCCAUAUUUUCAUCAUUUUUUAACCUAAAAAUAUUUAAUUUUGUCCAUUAAAAAUUUUGACUAUAGAAUAAAAAAAUAACAUGAUAUAAAAAUUAAGAUGUAGAAGCAGAGAAUACUUUAUAAAUUAAUCUUUUUAGUACUAGUAGUACAUCUUAAUCUUAUUAAGAAUAUUUAUUCCUAUACUGUACAUAUUGUCACAUGCUAAAUUAAGACCUAUGAAUAAAUUUGAUUUAUUUCUUUGUAAUGCAUUUAUAUAUUCACAUUAUGACAACAAGUCUGUGAUGUUAAUUCUAUUAUAUGAAUGAAAUGGUGUUGAAUGAGAUAACAUAUUAUGGAUAAAUAUUAAAUUCAAUUUAAUUCUUAUUGUCAUGACUACAUUGUGAUAUCUGUCUGUAUACAUUGUAAAGAUAUGAAUUUGUAUAUUGUAUUCUGUGAUUUAUUUUUGUAGGACUGUUUACUGCCAUAAAAGACUUCCAGUGUUUACUGUUUGUAUGUUUGUAUAUAUCUUUGAUGUAUGGAUUUAUCCUCAGAGAAAAUAUAAAGGAUAUACAAUUACAA